rnacentral:rRNA from 1 species
AGUGAACGCUGGCGGUAGGCCUAACACAUGCCAGUCGAACGGCAGCACAGUAAGAGCUUGCUCUUACGGGUGGCGAGUGGCGGACGGGUGAGGAGUACAUCGGAAUCUACUUUUUCGUGGGGGAUAACGUAGGGAAACUUACGCUAAUACCGCAUACGACCUACGGGUGAAAGCAGGGGAUCUUCGGACCUUGCGCGAUUGAAUGAGCCGAUGUCGGAUUAGCUAGUUGGCGGGGUAAAGGCCCACCAAGGCGACGAUCCGUAGCUGGUCUGAGAGGAUGAUCAGCGACACUGGAACUGAGACACGGUCCAGACUCCUACGGGAGGCAGCAGUGGGGAAUAUUGGACAAUGGGCGCAAGCCUGAUCCAGCGAUACCGCGUGGGUGAAGAAGGCCUUCGGGUUGUAAAGCCCUUUUGUUGGGAAAGAAAAGCAGCAGGUUAAUACCCCGCUGUUCUGACGGUACCCAAAGAAUAAGCACCGGCUAACUUCGUG